ensembl:lncRNA
GCAGUUCAGGCUGGCCUUGAACUCACUACAGUCCAGGUUGGCUCAUGGUGAUCCUCCUGCCUCAGCCUCCCAAGUGCUGGGAAUACAGAUGAAUCCCUCCAGCCCCAGGAGACAUUAGCUACUCUUUUCAGUAUCAAGUUGGUUGACUGGAUGUUACAGAGUCGCAUCUUCAAAAACAGCGAUCUCAUGAGACAAGAGUGGGCAAGACUCACAAUCAGAGCCACUCAUGGAUGCUGGGCCAGAAGAGGACUGCGAGAGACCCCGCUGCAGUUACGGCCACAGGAGGGACAAACAGAUGGGCAGAGCUGAGCAUCCACUGCAGUGAUGAAAACAGCUCACAAGCUCACAUUCUUUCCUGAGGCAGGGAGGUAACCAGAACGACUGGAGUGGUCUGGGUAAGGAAGAUACUCAGAAUGGUGGGGACUUUGGUGACCGGGAGAGAACAUGACACAUCAGAAGGGGAUGACCGUAACCUAGGGUAGCAGAGUUCUGUGAACAUCUUCGCAUUUCGGGACAAAAACAUCCUCAGAAGUAACAGGAGGCUGCUGGUCAAAAGGGCCUAAAUUAUAGAGGUCCACACCUCGAAGAACAGGUACCCCUGACCCUGUCAAGCAUAACGCUGGCGAAAGGGCGCCACCUACUGAUCAACUAAAGUCACACUUUUUCCUGCCAGGAACUUCCCACUUGGUUUGGCUUUGAGGUGUGGGGAGGCUGGCCCAAGGACAUUGUUCAUGC